rnacentral:rRNA from 1 species
UUGAUCCUGGCUCAGAAUCAACGCUGGCGGCGUGCCUAACACAUGCAAGUCGAACGAGAAAGCCUGGUAGCAAUACUGGGUGAGUAAAGUGGCGUACGGUUGAGUAACACGUGGAUAACCUACCUCCGAAUGGGGAAUAACCCUGGGAAUCCGGGGCUAAUACCGCAUAACAUCUUAAUACUUCGGUAUCGGGAUUGAAUCCUUGAAAAGGGGUUUGGAGAGGGGUCCGCGGCUGAUUAGCUAGUUGGUUAGGUAAUGGCCCACCAAGGCUUUGAUCGGUAGCCGGCCUGAGAGGGCGGUCGGCCACACUGGAACUGAAACACGGUCCAGACUCCUACGGGAGGCAGCAUUGGGGAAUUUUGCGCAAUGGGGGAAACCCUGACGCAGCAACGCCGCGUGUAUGAUGAAGCCCCUUGGGGUGUAAAAUCCUUUCGGCAGGGACGAAACUAUAGCAAUCUAGCGGACGGUACCUGAAGAAGAAGCCCCGGCUAACUCCGUGUCAGCAGCCGCGGUAAUAAGGU